CCCUAACCCCGAUUGCAGUGGAAAGCAUUUUGAAAUAAAAAAGUAGAAGUUCCUGAAGAAAAAAAGCGACCAACGGAAGCUCUUUUUUGUUCUUUGGAACUUCUUUUUUUAUGAAAAAUCUUGGAGCGGAAAGCGGGAAACAGU
rnacentral:sRNA from 1 species